rnacentral:lncRNA from 1 species
UUUUUUUUUUUGGUCUUUUCUUGAAAAAGUGUGAAAGAAAAUUAUAAUUGGUCCCUACUUUCUUUAUUUUUACACUUCACCCUCUUUUCUUUCUCAUUUACCCUCAACCAUCAUUGGUCCGCCAAAUGACUCUUUUACCCUUGAAGAUUGCAACAUGUAGCACAUAGGAUGCAUCAGGAUGGUCUUGUAUUUUGGAUACAUCUGUCCUAGACGAACCUAACUCUUGUGUUGAGUCCUCUAGGUCAAAUGCAUGUGAUGCAAACAAACGUUCCUACUAGGGAUCCGGCAUGAGGUUAUAUUAUUCUAAGUUUAAAGCUGGGGUUGUGUUCUUGACCUGGCUUACCCAAGCGGACAACUCGAGCCGAAGAGGGGGCAACGUACCGGGAGCACGAAAGUCUACCUGGCUUUGUUACUGGCCCAGCCUCAUUUUAUUUGGUAUAACUUCUAACAGAAAAAGUGGGCCACGCAAACGUGAGCACCGUUUUUUUUAAGACUCAGAACGGAGGCGUAAGAAGACAAUAUAAUAUAAUUCAAAUAAUAUCAAAAUGGUAAAUAAGCGGCAAUUAGCACAUUAGGUUCACAAAUACAGUAAUAUCAACAAUAAAUAAAGCCAAGUAAAAAUCAUAUUAACAAGCUCGAAUUCUGAACCCUGAACCAGAAGUUUUGGAUUCUUAUCCCCAGCAGAGUCGCCAGAGCUAUCACACAUCCUUUUUCUAUCCCGAAGGGGAUAUAAGGGAGUUUUUUCCAAUUUAAGUGACAAUCGAAACGGAAUUAUCUAUACUAAAUUCAGAGUCGCCACUUGGGAUAAUUUAUGGUGUCCCAAGUCACCGGUUUAAAAUCCCGAAUCGAGGAAGUUGACUCUUUUUACGGUCUGCGAACACAGAAAUCCGGGUAAGAAAUUCUGUUAACCCGGGAGAAGGUGUUAGGCAUUCCCGGGUUCCGUGGUUUUAGCACAGUCGCUUUGAUCAUACUUGGCUUAUUAAAUUGUUUAACUACUCAUUUUAGAACCUAUGUGCUUUCACCUCUUUUAAUUAAGAAAUUAUCUUAAAAUAGGUCACAUGCACGUGUACCUAUUUGUUUGGCGCGUAAAAAAUUAUGCCACGCGUACAUGUCCACGAUCAAUCAUGCUUUAUUAUUAUUAAGAAAUUUUGGUCGAAGCUGCGCGAAUGCAUGCCCCAAUUUUGUUUUUAGGAUCGCAAUUAUGUCACACGAACGUGUACACAAUCAAUAACAUUUUAUUAUUAUUAAGGUUGUUUCGCCCAAAGUUGUGCGAACGCAUACUUCGGUCUUAAUUGUGGAACCCAUAAUUUUGUCACUCAGAUGUUCAAAAAUACAUACUACUAGGCACUAGCGAAUCUAUAUAGUAAAAAAUACAACUAAAAGUAAAAUGAAAUACAUCACAUUUCAACUAAUCAAACCACUUAUUAUCAAUUAUAAAUGUCGAGGUCAUGAGCUACUGAUAUCUUACUAUUUCAUUUCCAUGCUACUUUAAUUUUGCAGUGUUAGCUUGUCACCUUUCUUCUUCGAAUAAUAAAUUCUUAAACCACAAGUAAGAGAAAAAUGGGCCUCCCACAAUACAUUCAAACCAGAUUUCACUCCUAAGCCACUUCAACAUUUUCCACCAUCUUCACGUCAAAGAACGCUAUCUUGUUGGUGUUAAUAAUGAAUGAUGUCAUGAUAUAAACAACAAAAAAAACUCAGUAGGCAUGAGAAAGCGACUAAAAUUGCACACUAUUGCUAGUUAGGUCUUUCCUUCUUACUCGACGCAUGAAAUAUGGACUAAGUAGACUUAAACCAACAGCGAUUUGACUAGUGUACUCAAAGAACUCUAUCAGCUCAUGACAAUUUCCAAACUAAGAAUGAAUCACCACAUAAACAUAUAAGCAGUGCACGAAUAAUAUAAUCUCAGCAACAUUAUACAUCAAGCUAUGCUCGAAAUAAAAAUCUAAAGUAGAAAAUGAACCUUGAGUGAAGCAAUAUCAGACUUGGAAUAUACAGAGGAUCUUUAUAGAGGUUGAAAUAAUAGCUACUACAAUAUGAUAGAUCCGCAAUGAAAAACCUCAUCGGAAACACAGACGGAACUUCACCGUGAACUCACACCACUCAAACAAAUUCCAUUCCGGAGAAACGAAAAUCCGAAACUAGGGAGAUGAAACAGAAUUUUUAAAUCGUACUCGUACUCAAGGCGUAAAAAUGGGGACCGGUUAGAUCUACAAUUUUUCCGGCGAACAAACAAGACCACGUCUCAAAACAGCUUUAAAGCUAAGUUGAAGAUAGCAGCAACAGUAACCAACUAAACGCUGAAAUGAAGAUGAAGCUCGACUUAAACUGAGCUUUUCAAUUAACGAGAACCUCUAAUGUUACACAUUCGGUUUGGAUGCAAAAUUCCUAUGGCCUAUGAUGGUGACUAGAACCCAAACCGCAUACGCCGGCGAACUUCAGACUCUGACUUCGAACGGAAUCAAAUCUAGACCUUAAAACUUAUCGGAGUCAGUGACGCUACUACAACGACGAUGACGACACUGUUAGAUCUAAACCCGUCUGACAUAGAAGUGAAGUACACGAGAAUAGUGGUGAUGAAAUAUUCGCCGGAUUAGUUUUUCGGACGGAUCGAAAACAAAAUUUCCGGCCAAACCAUGAUUUAAACGGUAGUAGAGGUGAAGAGAUCAGGAGUUCAGGGUUGGGGCUUUCUUUGUGUUGAACGGCUGGUUCUUCAAGAAAGGGGUGAGAUGAAGAAGAAGAUAUUCAUGGGGUCGUUUGGUGUUCUGCGGCGGAUUUUAUUUUCCUUUAGGUCUAGGUCUUUAGCUAGCUCCCCUCUCUAGGUUAGAAUGUUAUUUAUAUCCAGAAUUAAUUAGGUUUUUAGGGUGUUGGUUUUAAUGGAUUUUUGGGCUUUAAAAUUGAAAUUGGGUUGGGUCCAUGUUUUAUUGCGGUGCAGGAAAGGUCUGUUGGAGCAUUACUGGCCCAAGAAAAU